UAAAUUUGAUUAUGGUUUUUUUGGAGUUUAAAUGGUAUUAUUUAAUUUUAAUUUACUUAUUGGUCAAUAAAAAUUAAACCAGGCAAGUUUUUGUAUUGUAUAAUUUUAGUUCCAGAAUAAUCGGCUAUACUAAUAAUAACUUUAACUUUAAAUGAGGUGUUAUUAAAUUUAUAAAAAUUGUUUUUUAAUUUAAAUUGGUAAAAUAUUUUAAAUAAAAAAAUUUUUAUUUAAUUAAAAAGACUAAAAAUUUAAAGUGGAUUAGUACCCAUGUAAUUUAGAAUUUAAAAAAUCAGGAGUAAAGUAGUGUUUAAACUGAAAAAAUAUUGGGAGUAAUUAAAAUAACUAGUGGAACUUGGAAUUUAAUUGGAGAUUCCUCCUUUCUAGCUUUAUUUUUAUGUACGUGUAUGUUUAUUUAUUUAAUUACUAAAAAUUAUAAGGAAAAUAAUAUUUAAAAAAAUAGAUAAAUACCUGGCUUAUAAUAAAGUUUAAUUCUGAGUUACAUUAAAGAAUUUUGUGGUUUAAAAACUUAAGGUUUUUAUUAAAAUGUAAUUAGCAGUAAAAAAAUUUUUAUAUUUUUUUGAAGUUUAAUUUUUUAAUUAGGUACAAACCAUCCAUCAAUUGCCCACAGGGGAGUAAGUUGUAGUAAGGUAAAUUUAAGGGAACUUGAAUUUAGAAAAUAAAUAGUUUA
rnacentral:ncRNA from 1 species